UACGAAGGGGGCUAGCGUUGUUCGGAAUUACUGGGCGUAAAGCGCGCGCAGGCGGUUCUUCAAGUCAGAGGUGAAAGCCCAGGGCUCAACCCUGGAAUUGCCUUUGAGACUGAGGGACUUGGGUACGGGAGAGGUGAGUGGAAUUCCGAGUGUAGAGGUGAAAUUCGUAGAUAUUCGGAAGAACACCAGUGGCGAAGGCGGCUCACUGGCCCGUUACCGACGCUCAGGCGCGACAGCGAGGGGAGCAAACAGG
rnacentral:rRNA from 1 species